UACGGAGGGGGCUAGCGUUGUUCGGAAUUACUGGGCGUAAAGCGCACGUAGGCGGCUUUGUAAGUUAGAGGUGAAAGCCCGGGGCUCAACCCUCGGAAUAGCCUUUAAGACUGCAUCGCUUGAACACGGGAGAGGUGAGUGGAAUUCCGAGUGUAGAGGUGAAAUUCGUAGAUAUUCGGAAGAACACCAGUGGCGAAGGCGGCUCACUGGACCGUUGUUGACGCUGAGGUGCGAAAGCGUGGGGAGCAAACAGG
rnacentral:rRNA from 1 species